rnacentral:rRNA from 1 species
UACGGAGUGGGCUAGCGUUGUUCGGAAUUACUGGGCGUAAAGCGCACGUAGGCGGCUUUGUAAGUUAGAGGUGAAAGCCCGGGGCUCAACUCCGGAAUUGCCUUUAAGACUGCAUCGCUCGAAUUGUGGAGAGGUAAGUGGAAUUCCGAGUGUAGAGGUGAAAUUCGUAGAUAUUCGGAAGAACACCAGUGGCGAAGGCGACUUACUGGACACAUAUUGACGCUGAGGUGCGAAAGCGUGGGGAGCAAACAGG